rnacentral:rRNA from 1 species
AAACUUUCRRCAMCGGAUCUCUKGGCUCUGGCAUCRAUGAAGAACGCAGCGAAAUGCGAUACGUAAUGSGAAUUGCAGAAUUCAGCGAGUCAUCGAAUCUUUGAACGCACAUUGCGCCCGCCAGCAUUCUGGCGGGCAUGCCUGUCCGAGCGUCAUUU